rnacentral:rRNA from 1 species
AAGCUUUGCUUGAGGAGCCGUGGCAGGUAUUGCAUGGCUGUCGUCAGCUCGUGUCGUGGGACGUUGGGUUAAGUCCCGUAACGAGCGCAACCCCUGCCCUUAGUUGCCAGCGGUACGGCCGGGGACUAUAAGGGGACUGCCGGAGAAUAUCCGGAGGAAGGAGGGGAUGACGUCAAGUCAUUAUGAUCCUUAUGCUCUGGGCGACACACGUGCUACAAUGGGCACUACAAUGAGGAGCGAUUCCGCAAGGAGGAGCAAAUCUCAAAAAGGUGCCCCCAGUGCGGAUUGGGGUCUGCAACCCGACCCCAUGAAGAUGGAAUCGGUAGUAAUCGCGGGUCAGCCAUACCGCGGUGAAUACGUACUUGGGCCUUGUACACACCGCCCGUCACACCAACCGAGUAGGCGACACCCGAAGUCGACGUAUGUUGCCGAAGGUGUUACCUGCAAGGGGGGUGAAGUCGUAACAAGGUAACC